rnacentral:rRNA from 1 species
GACGAACGCUGGCGGCGUGCUUAACACAUGCAAGUCGUGCGGUAAGGCCCUUUCUGGGGUACCCGAGCGGCGAACGGGUGAGUAACACGUGAGCAACCUGCCCUUCACUUUGGGAUAACUGCCGGAAACGGUGGCUAAUACCGGAUAUGACUUCCUCACGCAUGUGGGGUGGUGGAAAGCCUUCGGGUGGUGGGGGAUGGGCUCGCGGUCUAUCAGCUUGUUGGUGGGGUGAUGGCCUACCAAGGCUUCGACGGGUAGCCGGCCUGAGAGGGUGACCGGCCACACUGGGACUCAGACACGGCCCAGACUCCUACGGGAGGAAGCAGUGGGGAAUAUUGGACAAUGGGCGAAAGCCUGAUCCAGCAACGCCGCGUGAGGGAUGACGGCCUUCGGGUUGUAAACCUCUUUCGCCUGCGACGAAGCGAGAGUGACGGUAGCAGGUAAAGAAGCACCGGCCAACUACGUG